CCUACGGGAGGCAGCAGUGGGGAAUUUUGGACAAUGGGCGCAAGCCUGAUCCAGCAAUGCCGCGUGAGUGAAGAAGGCCUUCGGGUUGUAAAGCUCUUUUAGUCAGGGAAGAAACGGUGAGCUCUAAUACAGUUUGCUAAUGACGGUACCUGAAGAAUAAGCACCGGCUAACUACGUGCCAGCAGCCGCGGUAAUACGUAGGGUGCAAGCGUUAAUCGGAAUUACUGGGCGUAAAGCGUGCGCAGGCGGUUUUUGAAGUCUGUCGUGAAAUCCCCGGGCUCAACCUGGGAAUGGCGAUGGAGACUGCAAGGCUAGAGUUUGGCAGAGGGGGGUUAGAAUUCCACGUGUAGCAGUGAAAUGCGUAGAUAUGUGGAGGAACACCGAUGGCGAAGGNGGCCCCCUGGGUCAAAACUGACGC
rnacentral:rRNA from 1 species